rnacentral:rRNA from 1 species
AACGAACGCUGGCGGCAGGCUUAACACAUGCAAGUCGAACGGGUGCAGCAAUGCAUCAGUGGCAGACGGGUGAGUAACACGUGGGAACCUUCCUAGGGGUACGGAACAACUCAGGGAAACUUGAGCUAAUACCGUAUACGUCCGUAAGGAGAAAGAUUCAUCGCCCCCUAGACGGCCCGCGUCGGAUUAGGUAGUUGGUGGGGUAACGGCCUACCAAGCCUGCGAUCCGUAGCUGANCUGAGAGGAUGAUCAGCCACACUGGGACUGAGACACGGCCCAGACUCCUACGGGAGGCAGCAGUGGGGAAUCUUGGACAAUGGGCGCAAGCCUGAUCCAGCCAUGCCGCGUGGGUGAAGAAGCC